AUUGAGCCAUCAGAAUGGUUGCCUUCCUUGUGAUGACUGCCAGGUACACUUUAAGGAAUAUUAGACUGUCUCAUAACUAGUGUCCUCAGCACUGCAUUAAAGCAUAAAUAUACUACUAGUCUUAUAUGGGGAUCGUGUGUGGGGUUCUGUUGUAUAUUUUGCUAACAAUGUGUGUUGCUGUGCAAUCUUUGAUGACCCCGUGACAGUGAAAGAAUGAAUCACUUCUGUAACAAGUUAGUGUUGAGUACUAACUUUCUCAUUUUUUAUUAUUAUUAC